rnacentral:rRNA from 1 species
GACGAAGGGGGCUAGCGUUGUUCGGAAUUACUGGGCGUAAAGCGCGUGUAGGCGGUUGUCCUAGUCAGGUGUGAAAGCCUUGAGCUCAACUCAAGAAAUGCACUUGAUACUGGGCGACUAGAGGACCGGAGAGGAUAGUGGAAUUCCCAGUGUAGUGGUGAAAUACGUAGAGAUUGGGAAGAACACCAGUGGCGAAGGCGGCUAUCUGGACGGUUUCUGACGCUAAGACGCGAAAGCGUGGGGAGCAAACAGG